UGAAACUCAAAGGAAUUGACGGGGGCCCGCACAAGCGGUGGAGCAUGUGGUUUAAUUCGAUGCAACGCGAAGAACCUUACCCAGACUUGACAUGCACCGGACAGGUGUGGAAACACACUCUCCUUUCGGGGUCGGUGCACAGGUGCUGCAUGGCUGUCGUCAGCUCGUGUCGUGAGAUGUUGGGUUAAGUCCCGCAACGAGCGCAACCCUUGUCCUUAGUUGCCAGCAUUUAGGAUGGGCACUCUAAGGAGACUGCCGCCGAUAAGGCGGAGGAAGGUGGGGAUGACGUCAAGUCCUCAUGGUCCUUAUGUCUGGGGCUACACACGUGCUACAAUGGCCGGUACAGAGGGUUGCGAUGCCGCGAGGUGGAGCCAAUCCCAGAAAGCCGGUCUCAGUUCGGAUUGUAGUCUGCAACUCGACUGCAUGAAGCUGGAAUCGCUAGUAAUCGCUGAUCAGCAGGCAGCGGUGAAUGUGUUCCCGGGCCUUGUACACACCGCCCGUCAAGCCACGAAAGUUGGCAGUACCCGAAGUCGCUGACCCAACCGCAAGGAGGGAGGCGCCGAAGGUARGGCUGGCGAUUGGGGCUAAGUCGUAACAAGGUAACCAAGGGCGAA
rnacentral:rRNA from 1 species